rnacentral:miRNA from 1 species
GAGUUCCCACUGUGCUCCGCAGGCUUCAGGUUCCUUUUGCUGAAGCCAGGAGAGUCUUGCUCUCCUGGCUUCAGUAAAAGGAACCCGAACCCUUCGGAGCGCAGCGCGGGUUC